rnacentral:rRNA from 1 species
UACGUAGGCAGCGAGCGUUGUUCGGAAUUACUGGGCGUAAAGGGCGCGUAGGCGGUCUGUUAAGUUCGGUGUGAAAGCCCCCGGCUCACCUGGGGAACUGCGCCGGAAACCGACAGACUCGAGUACCGGAGAGGAGGGUGGAAUUCCUGGUGUAGCGGUGAAAUGCGUAGAUAUCAGGAGGAACACCGGUGGCGAAGGCGGCCCUCUGGACGGAUACUGACGCUGAGGCGCGAAAGCGUGGGGAGUCAAACAGGAAUUAGAUUACCC